rnacentral:rRNA from 1 species
UACAGAGGGUGCGAGCGUUAAUCGGAAUUACUGGGCGUAAAGGGCGCGUAGGCGGUCGUGACAAGUCACUUGUGAAAUCUCCGGGCUUAACUCGGAACGGUCAAGUGAUACUGUCGGACUAGAGUACAGAAGGGGCAACUGGAAUUCUCGGUGUAGCGGUGAAAUGCGUAGAUAUCGAGAGGAACACCUGCGGCGAAGGCGGGUUGCUGGGCUGAUACUGACGCUGAGGCGCGAAAGCCAGGGGAGCGAACGGG